rnacentral:tRNA from 1 species
GGGAAUGUGGCUCAGUGAUAGAGUGCUUGCCUACCAUGCAUGAAGCCCUAGGUUCGAUUCCUCAGUACCA